GGUUGGACUAAAUGCUUUCCAGAUGAUGUUCUCGCACAUGUUGGUAGCUAUAAAAAGUGAGAUACCGGAGCCCAGACCAUAUCCUUUCUGAAGGAGCUCAUCAAGGCAAAUAACAAUUAUGCCAGCAAACCACAGUUGAAUAAUUAUCAGCACUGCGUUUCCAACCCCAAGCUGACUAACACUGCCAUACAUGCCAGAGAGAACAUAUGCAACUGCUUCACCAAUAGCUAUGAGAAUCCCUAAUAACUUUUGUGCACCAUUCAGAAGUGCUCGGUCCUCCCGAACAUUGUUGUCAACUUCAAUGAUCUUUGACCCAGCUAAAAGUUGCAUAACCAAUCCAGAAGUCACAAUUGGAGUGAUUCCAAGUUCCAUGACAGUUCCACGGUUUGAAGCAAGGAUAACACGCAUCCAAUAGAACGGAUCGGCACCAGUUGUGGAGUGUAUGCCAUACAAAGGUAACUGACUGCAUACCAGGAAAAUAAAUAGAGAGAUCACAGUGUAUAAAACCUUCUCUCUGAAUGGAAUUUUUCGAUCAGCACUCUG
rnacentral:misc_RNA from 1 species